CUUUAAUUUGUCUCAUGUGAGAUGAGAAUUGAGAGGAGGGUUUAGCAAUAUUGGCAGUGUUUGUAAACGUUUGUGAUGUUAUGUGACAUUGCCAGUUGACAUUGGCCAACUGACUCAUUGACCAGUCUAGGUAUCCACGAACUUGUCUCCUGAGCCACCUACGAUUUCUAUACAACCCACGUGUAUUAAGGUUUGUCAGCUGUAAGCCAAUGGAGUAUACAAUUAUGGAAUUCUUUCUUUUCAUCAAAUGAAGUUUUAACUACAAUUUGUCAAGGUAAACUGUGGCAAUGGAAUCCUGAUGAAGGACUGGACAUGAAUAAAGCACCAUUUGCUUUAAUUUGGAUACAACUUAAAGAGGAAUAGCCUGAGCUUGAUGAGUUUACUUUAUAAUCUUUUUCAGAUCCCAUCAACAUGUCUCUGAGAGUGUUCUGUCUACUAUGUGUUAUUACAACAAAACAUAGAAAUCAUUUAGGGAGACAUUUUCCUCUACGAGUGCGGUUGUUGCUCAAUUAGAUCAGCCAGAAAAAAACCGAUUUGUCAUAUUCAAAAUACUAAAUAUUGAUAUACACAGUGUUAAUUUAUUAUGUUAUAUAAAAGCAUUGAUUUGCAAGGUUUCAAAAUUAAAAACAAAACUGAGCUUCACCACAAUUUGAGAGCCACUGCUCUAAUGGGAAUUCCCAGGCAGGGAUGGAAAAGGGUGUGUGUGUGUGUGUGUGUGUGUGUAACUGUGUAGCCAAACAUAAAGGGAAGAGAUAAAACAGCUCCCUUUCAGCAAUAAAACCACAAUUGUGUUGGAUAAUUAUAUAUUGCACAGUCUCCAUCGUAAACAAAAACAAUUUGUUUCCAUUUUGGUUGAAAUGAAAACUAACUAUUUCUCUUUUCCAGGCUGGCUUUGCUGCCUGGUCAGUGAGCUCAGGCCACUAAUGAAUGGCUGGCAUCCCAGCGUCUACCCACAAAAGACCCACUCUGACCUCCCAGAGCGAAACCCCACUGUUUAAAGGGCACAGAGGGCAAAGCCCUGGUGGCUUCCCUCCUUCCCCCCCUCCAUCUCACACCCGUCUUCCUGUAAACCUUUUUGCUUGUAGAGAACCUGCCUAGAAGGUGAGCAUGGCCCAAAGUAUGCCCCGACCACCACAGAAAGGCAUUGCACCCAGCGCAGCUCUGGGGAAAAUCGGAGCCUCCACCCAAUAGCCCGAAGCCCGCCCUUUCCUUUGGAAUCCACUAGUCCUAGGCCUGGCCGUUGAACUUUGGUUUUAAUUUGCUCGUGCCACAGGGUGACUGACAUGGGUUUUUUCCUUCUUGCUAGAAUACAAUUGCAAAGCGAGUCUUCAUGUCCAUGAUGAGGAGGCCCUCUAUGGAACUCUGUGUCAUUUGGAAGAUCCCCAGUGGUGAUGGGUAAGAAUAACAGCUGGCAGUGGGCCUUCCAACAGGUCUUUGGGGAAGGCAGAAUUUAGAGCUGGGGGCCUCUGAUCAUGCUAGUCCCUCACACACCAUUUCUCAGCGUGCCCUGAAGGGCAGAGUCAGUAAAUGUGACCCCAAAGUCUGGAAGAAGGCAUUCCCGUUUCUCUGGUUUAGAAAGGGGCUGCAGGCCAAGAUAAGAGACCAUUUGGAAUGUGUCAGUUUGUGACUUUCACAACGUCCGAUUAAUUUGUCUUCUUUAAUGUGUAAACUGCCAACAUGACUUCCUGAUUCUCUCAUCUUUCUCGAUUUCCCUUUUCAUGGGAUUUCUGAAAAGGGGUGACCCGUUGGUUUGUUGAGCACUCGUGGGUCACAGUUAUGGGUAGAAACCAGGUCCCUUUAAGUGAAAGCUCACUGGCUUCACCUGGCCUGUCCCCCUGCCUGUAUUUUGCUGGAAAAGCCUCCUUGGGAUCACCACUGAUGAGCGUAUCAUGCCACCAUAGGAUUUGAUGCCUAUCACUUGGUCUUCAAUCCAUCAAAAGAAAGGUGCUGGUCUCUGGUCCUGCCUGGAGUCAAUGCAGACCUCAGCAUUUGCUCUACUUUAAAUUUUCUCUGAAGGUGAAGACAAUGCUGCAUCAAGCCAACCUACAAGUCCCUGCCCAGGGGAAGGUGUAUUGCAAUACGAGGCGCCCUAAAACCCAUCCAUAACCUUGGUGGAUUCCACAAAAUGAAAAAUACUAUAAGCUGCCGUUACACACGCUCUCCAAUGCAAAUUCCCUUCCCUAAAGAUGCAGCUUAUUUUCUUUUUAUUGUAUUUAAUUCCGAAAGAAUGGUCACACUUCUUUGCUAGGUAGGCAAGAUGUUCCGGAGGACACACUAGAGAAAGCACCACUCCCCACCCUAACCCACAUCCCCAACACACUCACCUGCCCACACUCACACAAUCACAUACACAUGCUCACAUGCUCAUUUGCACC
rnacentral:lncRNA from 10 species